rnacentral:lncRNA from 1 species
GCGUGGAACAAACAAGUGUGAAAUACGGAGGCAAAAAAGGAGGCAAAUUAGUCUGGUUGGUUGUUGGCAUAGGAAGCAUCAGAAGUUGCCAUUCCGCUCAGAGCUGUCAUCCUAACCUUGAGAGUGAAAAGAAGCGCAAGCAGUGGAUCGGUCGCCGCUUCAUUCACCUCCACUUCGUCUCACUGUCCUAGCUUUUCAUUGGCCCAACUGCACACAGGAGCAUCACCUGAGGGCAUGCACAGUGUAAGGAUGUGGCAAGGAGCCCUACGCCGUCAUAUAGGAUUCACACCUCCAUCUCGGCAUGGCGCGUACCU